rnacentral:rRNA from 1 species
UACGAAGGGGGCUAGCGUUGUUCGGAAUUACUGGGCGUAAAGGGCGCGUAGGCGGAUACUUAAGUCGGGGGUGAAAGCCCAGGGCUCAACCCUGGAAUAGCCUUCGAUACUGGGUAUCUUGAGUUCGGGAGAGGUGGGUGGAACUCCGAGUGUAGAGGUGAAAUUCGUAGAUAUUCGGAAGAACACCAGUGGCGAAGGCGACUCACUGGCCCGAUACUGACGCUGAGGCGCGAAAGCGUGGGGAGCAAACAGG